rnacentral:rRNA from 1 species
UGGUAUUUUAACUAUACAAAGGUAUUGUAAUAAGAUUUUAAUUGAAUGCUAAAAGAAUGGAAGUUUAAGAAAAAACUUUUUUAAAAAUAAAAAUUAAAUUUUUUUUAAUUUGUGCAAAACCAAUUAUUUAUAUUAAAGACAAGAAGACCCUAUGAAUUUAUGAUUAAAUAAACUAAAAAUUUUUAGUUUAUUUAAUCUUGAUUGGGGCAAUCAAAAAAUAUUAAUAACUUUUUUAWAUUUAAAUGAUCUAUUAUUAAUAAUCUAAUGGAAUAAAUACUCUAGGGAUAACAGCGUAAURAUUUUUGAUAGAUCUUAUAGACAAAAUAGUUUGCGACCUCGAUGUUGGAUUAGG